rnacentral:lncRNA from 1 species
GGAGGGCCGCGCCCCCGCGCACCUCCCUGCCCUGCGGGGCCCGGAGGCGCCGUGCACCCCGCACCGCUCGCAGAGGCGUUGAGGGGCGGCAGCGAGGCAGGCGCGGAGCGGCGGAGCGGGCUGCCCCGGGAGAAGGAUGGCCGCGGCGGCGGGGCAGCGCCGGGGAACAGCCGCACCCCUAUUCGCCCUCGCCCUGGGGCUCCUCGCCGCCGCAGCGCAGGUUUGUGGAGACCAAAGCCAAGGAGCAGUUUUCCUACGUGAAUUUACACUGAUUCGGAGAGAAAGUCUACAUGAUGAUUUCCUGUCUGAUUUGCUGAAUAACCACAGAACAGAAGAUCCGAGCUCCAGAACAGCUCGCUCAGAGGAAGAUCGAGACUCACUGUGGGAUGCCUGGGGUUCAUGGAGUGAAUGUUCACGCACGUGUGGAGGAGGGGCUUCGUAUUCACUGAGACGUUGCCUGAGCAGCAAGACCUGUGAAGGGCGAAACAUCCGAUACAGGACAUGCAGCAAUGUGGACUGUCCUCCAGAAGCAGGUGAUUUUCGUGCUCAGCAGUGCUCGGCGCAUAACGAUGUCAAGUAUCAGGGACAGUUUUAUGAGUGGCUUCCUGUCUCUAACGAUCCUGACAACCCAUGUUCGCUGAAGUGCCAGGCCAGAGGAACAGCUUUGGUUGUAGAGCUGGCACCAAAAGUUCUGGAUGGGACCCGAUGCUACACUGAAUCCCUGGAUAUGUGCAUCAGCGGCUUGUGCCAAAUUGUUGGCUGUGACCGCCAGCUGGGAAGCACUGUCAAGGAAGAUAACUGUGGGGUCUGCAAUGGUGAUGGGUCCACCUGCCGGCUGGUUCGAGGCCAGUAUAAGUCCCAGUUCUCAGCAAAUAAAAUGGUCGAUACAGUAGUUGCUAUUCCCUAUGGAAGCAGGCAUAUUCGCCUCGUGCUGAAAGGACCCGAUCAUUUAUAUUUGGAAACCAAGACUCUCCAAGGUGUUAAGAGUGAAAACAACCUCAGCUCCACAGGUUCCUUCAUUGUGGACAAUUCUAGCAUUGACUUCCAGAAGUUUCCAGACAAGGAGAUACUGAAAAUAUCUGGGCCUCUCACUGCAGACUUCACUAUCAAGAUAGUCUACGUUGGUGCUGCUGACAGUUCAGUCCAGUUCAUCUUCUAUCAGCCUAUCAUUCAUCGAUGGAGAGAAACUGAUUUUUUCCCUUGUUCAGCAUCCUGUGGAGGAGGUUAUCAACUGACUUCUGCUGAAUGUUUUGAUCUGAGGAGUAAUCGGGUAGUAGCAGAUCAAUACUGUCACUAUUACCCUGAAAAUAUCAAGCCAAAGCCAAAACUUCAGGAGUGUAAUCUGGAUCCUUGUCCUGCAAGUGAUGGAUACAAGCAGAUCAUGCCCUAUGACCUCUACCAUCCCCUUCCUCGAUGGGAAAGUACGCCCUGGACUGCCUGCUCCUCAUCCUGCGGAGGGGGCAUUCAAAGCCGCAGUAUCUCAUGUGUGGAGGAAGACAUUCAAGGGCAUAUUAGCCCCGUGGAAGAAUGGAAAUGCAUGUACACUCCAAAGAUGCCUCUUGUCCAACCUUGCAAUAUAUUUGACUGCCCAAAGUGGCUUGCUCAGGAAUGGUCACCGUGCACUGUGACCUGUGGACAAGGGCUCAGAUAUCGCGUGGUCCUUUGCAUUGAUCACAGGGGGAUGCAUACAGGAGGCUGUAGCUCUAAAACAAAGCCACACAUAAAAGAAGAAUGCAUUGUACCCACUCCUUGUUACAAACCCAAAGAGAAACUUCCCGUGGAAGCAAAGUUGCCGUGGUACAAACAAGCUCAAGAGCUGGAAGAAGGAGCAGUGGUGUCUGAAGAACCUUCGUUUAUUCCUGAGGCUUGGUCCUCCUGUAGUGUCACCUGUGGAGUGGGCAGCCAGGUGCGGCUUGUGAAAUGUCAAGUGCUUCUGUCUUUCUCUCAGUCUGUGGCUGAUUUGCCUAUUGAUGAAUGUGAAGGUCCCAAACCCGUGUCUCAGAGAGCCUGUUACAGUGGUCCCUGCAAUGGAGAAGCAGCUGAACAUACUCCUGAAGAAACGGAUCUGCUGUAUGGUAGAUUGCAGGAAUUCGAUGAGCUCUAUGACUGGGAAUAUGAGGGCUUCACUGAGUGUUCGGAGUCUUGUGGAGGAGGUGUCCAGGAGGCUGUGGUGACCUGCCUGAACAAGCAAACCAGGGAGAUUGCAGAUGAGACUCAGUGUGUAACAAGUCGCCGUCCUCCACAGCUGCUGAAAGCCUGUAGUCUGGAUCCCUGCCCUCCAAGAUGGGAAAUUGGGAAAUGGAACACCUGCAGUCUUACGUGUGGGGUUGGAUUGCAGACACGAGAUGUCUUCUGUUCUCACCUACUAUCAAGAGAAAGUAAUGAGACCGUGAUUUUAGCAGAUGAAUUGUGCCAUAAACCUAAGCCAUCGCUUGUACAAGCCUGUAAUCGCUUCGACUGCCCGCCCUCCUGGUAUACUACAGAAUGGCAAGAGUGUUCACAGACAUGUGGAGGUGGUGUCCAGAAGCGAGAUAUACUUUGCAAGCAGCGUCUGGCAGAUGGAAGCUUGUUAGAGCUGCCAGAAACAUUUUGCUCCAUGCCGAAGCUGAUUUCCCAGCAAACCUGCAAAAAUGAGGACUGUCCUAAUGAGUGGCUUCUUUCUGACUGGUCACAGGUAUCAGCUGGUGGCCAGUUUCUCCCAUUGUCAUCUAAUGGGUCAAAUGCUGCCAGCAUCAAAGUAAACUGCUUGUUUUGCUUAAUGGUACCACAUACUAAUAGUAUUAAUGAUAUUUCAGGGCACAACAGGCCAGCUCAUAAGCAAAGUCCUCAUAUUGUGGCCGUAAAGAAAGUUUACAUCCAGACAAGGAAGCAGAAGAAGCUACACUUUAUUGUGGGUGGGCAUGCCUAUCUGCUGCCCAAAACCUCUGUUAUUCUCCGAUGCCCCACAAGGAGGUUCCGGAAGUCAAUGAUCUUCUGGGAGAAGGAUAACAAGAGGCUCAUCAGCUCAGCUCACAUCACCAUUGCACCCUAUGGGUACAUGAAAAUCCAUCGUUUGAGGCCUUCAGACACUGGGAUAUAUACCUGCAUAGCAGGGCCAGCCCGGGAGCAUUUUGUAAUUAAACUAAUAGGAAGCAACAAAAAUCUCAUUGCUGGGCAGCCAGCUGGCAUUAGGGAGGAAGAGGCCAUGAGAAAGUCCGGUCUAAAUGAAGCCUUGCGAACACAGGAGAAACAUAUCAAUGGGAUUCUCUUCAAUGGAAGCAAGACUGAAAACCAGGAGUAUAGCCUGCCAUAUACUAUGGUCACAGAUCAGAAACAGUUGGAUGAUAUCAUAAGGAAUUUGUCUCAGCAACCUGAGGAGCUUAAAGAUAUUUACACUGAGCAGAUUGUUGUACAGUUGGCUCAUGAGAUUUUCAAGAGCCACUUGGAGCAUCAGGAAUCUGUCCUCAAAGCAUCAAGACGAAGAGUUGAUUCAGCUUCCAUGGAAUACCCUUUCCACAGACAUGUUUCUGGAUUUACCAGCUCCUUGAGGACAUCAUCUCUUUCUGCUUCAGAGGUUAUAAAAUCAUGUGAAUAUGUAAAAAUCCAACUAAAUAUAUUCAUUCUGACACAAACUGAGACCUUUACCUCCUUUCUGCUUUACUCUAGGAUGCUACUUCAGCCUGAUGACUCCUUGCAGAUUCUAGCACCUGUGGAAGCUGAUGUGGGUUUCUAUGCUUGCAACGCAUCUAAUGCUCUGGGAUCUGACUCUGUGUCCAUUGCUGUCACUCUAGCAGGUAAUAAUUCACUUAUUUUGAUAGCACACAACCUCUGUGUCUUAUACGUGUUAUGUGUUGUCAAUGUUUUUCCAGGUGUUCCUGAAGCGGAAGUUACUUGGUUUAAAAAUAAGGUCAAGCUGUCCCCUGCUCACCACCUGCACGAUGGGUUGCUGCUAAUUGCAAAUGUUUCUCUGUCGGAUCAGGGGUUAUAUUCCUGCAGGGCAGCCAAUCUACGUGGGGAGGUAACUGAAAGCUCCCAGCUGUUGGUUCUUGGUAAGUACAGGGUAUUUUGCUUGCGAAGCUAUAGGAAUAUAGCUGAUGGCCUAAUUAGCCUUCAGAAUUAA